UCCCUGGUUGAUCCUGCCAGUAGUCAUAUGCUUGUCUCAAAGAUUAAGCCAUGCAUGUCUCAGUGCAAGCCGCAUUAAGGUGAAACCGCGAAAGGCUCAUUAAAUCAGUUGUGGUUCCUUAGAUCGUACCCAAGUUACUUGGAUAACUGUGGUAAUUCUAGAGCUAAUACAUGCCGACAGAGUUCCGACCGUCGCGGCGCCCUCGGGCGUCGCUCGCGGGAGGAACGCUUUUAUUAGAUCAAAACCGGCCCGUCGCGGCGCGCUUCGUGCGCGUCCCGAUCGCGGCCCGCGCAAAGACCUGGUGACUCUGAAUAACUUCGAGCAUGAUCGCACGGUCUCCGUACCGGCGACGCAUCUUUCAAAUGUCUGCC
rnacentral:ncRNA from 1 species